GCGCGGCUAGUUUAGUGGUUAGAAUUCUCGCUUCCCAUCUACUCUUGGAUCAGCGAGGGACUCGAGUUCGAAUCUCGGGUCGCGCA